GGGAAGACUGGAGGGGUCUGUGUGAGAGACACGCUUCCUGAUACAAACACUGAACAAUUUGCAUGAACGAUUUGACACUACAAACAUCUAUAUCGUCCAAAUUGGCUUACAAUGAUAAACGAUGAUAGACCAAAGGUGAACGACUAAAGUAUUUUUAGGCAUUUUGUACGUGACAGUUGCUCUCUAUUGCUAAUGUGCCUUGGGUGAAGAAGAAAAUAGCAAAUUUCAUAUUGGAGCCAGAGUUGCGUAAGGUCACGGGACCAUCUGUAUCCAGAGUCUCCAGUUCUUGUGGAAGAGGAGGCCCAGGAGAGUCUGGAUCUGGAACUUAUCCCGGAGCUGGGAGGAGGAGCUUACCACAGACCAAGGACAGAAGUGGAUGAGCCGGUGGUGGUGCAAACCCCACAGCCACGUCCUGCAAGACCAAGGCGGACGGCGAGGAAGGCCACUUCUGCCUCCUAUUGCUCCCAGCAGUUUUUCCAACAUGCUGAGGAGGUUCUGCAUAGGCCCCGGGACGUGGAUCAACAAUUCUGCAAUUAUAUUGCAGCGGAGAUGUGUUUGAUGACCGAGGAACAAAAGAUGAACUAGAAAGGGUUAGUCUAUGAGGCUACCUCACGCGCCAGGCACCAAAAACUGGAGCCGACGUGUGAGAUAGUGCCGGCUGAUCGUUGGCAUCUCCCAAAUUUGCCUCCUCCCACCUUCCCAUACCACCCCCCCUUUCCUCAUGGAGCAUGCGCCGGAAAACCCUCCUACGCAAACGUAAAUUUUUUCGGCAGGAGCCACACAGCCCAGCCCCUCCAUCCAAAUAAGCAGCUCGUCCAGUAGCAUGUACUCUGACAUGUCGAGUACACAGUCCUCUGUGCUGGGCAACCCUCGUUAUUUUAAUUUAUGAUUAGUUUUUUGUACACGCUUUUUUAGUUUUGUUGGAAAAAUCUGCUGAUGACCUUAUCCGACGCUCUUGCUCCAAGUGUCAUUGUCCCGCACUACUGAUCGUUGUGAUCAAUGCACUUUGUGUUCCUUCAAAACUGUUUGGAAAUUUGCUGUUGUUCUUCUUUACCCAAGGCAAAUUCGCACUGUGUUUGCCUCUACUGUACUGGUGUGUGGAAUAUGUCAGAUUUCUGUUCUAUUGGCAUCGUACCUGUAAAAAGGCACUCGUUCUCAUGGUACAAUGUCUGAAUCCUGGCCAGAAUUGGCGU